GCACUCUGUGCUGGGUUAGGAACUGGCUGGAGGGCCGAGCUCAGAGGGUGGUGGUGAACAGUGCUGCAUCCAUUGGGAUCCAGUCACUAGUGGUAACCCCAGAGAUCAGUGUUGGGCCCAGUUCUGUUUAAUAUCUUUAUUGAUGAUUUAGAUGAGGGGAUUGAGUCCACCAUCAGCAAAUUUGCAGGUGACACCAAGCUGGGGGGGAGUGUCGAUCAGCUGGAAGGCAGGAGGGCUCUGCAGAGGGACCUGGACAGACUGGAUGGAGAGUUGGGCUGAUUCCAAUGGGAUGAGGUUCAACAAGGCCAAGUGCCGGGUCCUGCACUUUGGCCACAACAACCCCCUGCAGUGCUACAGGCUGGGACAGAGUGGCUGGAGAGCAGCCAGGCAGAGAGGGAUCUGGGAGUCUGGAUUGACAAGAAGCUGAACAUGAGCCAGCAGUGUGCCCAGGUGGCCAAGAAGGCCAAUGGCAUCCUGGCCUGGAUCAGGAACAGUGUGGCCAACAGGUCCAAGGAAGUGAUUCUUCCCCUGUACUCAGCACUGGUGAGAUCACACCUGGAGUGCUGUGUCCAGUUCUGGGCCCCUCAGUUCAGGAAGGACAUUGAGGGGCUGGAGCAGGUCCAGAGAAGAGCAACGAGGCUGGUGAAGGGACUUGAACACAAGUCCUAUGAGGAGAGGCUGAGGGAGCUGGGGCUGUUCAGCCUGGAGAAGAGGAGGCUCAGGGGAGAUCUCAUCACUCUCUACAGCUACCUGACAGGAGGUUGUAGCCAGGUGGGGAUUGGUCUCUUCUCCCAGGCAACAAUCAUCAAGACAAGAGGGCAUGGCCUUAAGCUGUGCCAGGGGAGGUUUAAGUUGGAUAUUAGAAAGAAAUUCUCUACAGAAAGGGUAAUCAGGCAUUGGAAUUGGCUGCCCAGGGAAGUGGUGGAUUCUCUGUCCCUGGAGGUUUUUAAGGUAAGACUGGAUGUGGCACUUAGUGCCACGAUCUGGUAACCACGGCGCUGUUGGAUCAAGGGUUGGACUUGAUGAUCCCUUCCAACCCAACUGAUUCUAUGAUUCCACAGCACUUGUCAGUCUUUCUGUCUGUAAACUGCUACUGGUAGUUCCAUUAUCAGUUUCAAUAAGGUUCAUAGAAUCAUUUGGAUUGGAAAAGACCUCCCAAAUCAUUGAGUCCAACCAUUAACCCAGCACUGCCAGGUCCACCAUUAAAACAUGUUCCUAAGUGCCACAUCUACACAUUUUUUUGUACCCUUCCAGGGACGUUGAUGCCACCACUUCCCUGGGGAGCCUGUUCCAGUGCUUGACAAAACAUUCAAAUUCAAGUAUUAGACCUUCCCAAAGAACACUAAGAUGAUGGACAAACUAAAAGAUAAAACAGUAUUUUUUUAAUUUUACAUCACCAAUAAUAUAUUUAGCAAUCCUUAACUCAGAAACGAGCACAGCUAUGAACUAAUGUGAUCAGUAUUUUACUAAGUUAAUUCUCGUUGUUAAGCUUGAGUACCUUCUUAGUUCAGCUUAGCACACCUCCCAUUUUCGCUUGAAAAUAAAACCACAUUUUAUAUUUGUAUGCCUCAACCUUUCUUUCUCAGUAGAAAGUAGAGUGAUGUGGUGUCAGUUGAAAUCCAGACUCUUUUUUGGUGAUGUGUGUUACACUGAAAUCAGGGGUACAUCUGUACUGCAUGGUGUUGUAUCUUUUCUCUUUUUGGACAAACACAGGAAUUUGUGUCAUGCUUCAGUAUAAAGUUAUAACUCAAUAUUCGUUGUGAAGGAGCUGCACUUGUGAUUGGAGAAGCCACGAUUGCUUUAUGGCUUACACUGUUUAUAACACUCCUUGGUUAACAGGUUUCUGUUUUCAAGAUAUCUUUUUAGUGUUACUUUCAUGCAGUGAGGCAUAAAAGUUAACAGAAGUUAGAUUCACAACUUUUUCUGAAAUGUCUAACACUUGGAUUUUAAAAGAAAUACUGUCCCUUAUUUAGAUUCCUUACAAAAAUUCCCUUACAUUUUCUGAAAGACAAAGAUUUGCAAUUAAAUGUUUAGAGCUUCUGGAAGACAUGGAAUUUAUCCCCAACUGCACACCAUUUUUGUCAAUGACCAUCAUCAGCAUUACCUGGUUGCAAAAGUAAUUACAUUUUGUGGAGCCAUCUUUUUGCUGUACAUGCAUGUAGGACUCUUGCAGUGAGCUUGGCAAUUCAUCAAAAGAACUUGUCAGAAUUAUGCUGACAUAAGUAACUUGUGCUGAGAUUCUGUUAGUCUUCCUACCAUUCCCGUUGCCUUCUGUGUUUUCAAUUAAUUGAGGCAUUAGAAAAGAGCCUGAUUUUGCUUAAGUUUUUACUGUCAUGUCUGAGAUAGUGAAAUAAAUUUAAUAAACACUGCUGAAACUUCUAACGUAGAAGUUGUGCCAAAAUCUAAGGAGCUUUAAAUCUGCUGCUGAAAUUAACCCUUUCAGCUUGAUAGGUAUUGGAAACUUAACACUGACACUACUAACAAUCAAGAUAUUUGUUUACUGAAGAUCCUGUCACUUUGAAAUUACUAAAAACUACAACCUCUCUCAAUUGCUGCUUUUGUUGCACAGCUGUCACAAGUGCACUGUCACAAGUGCAGAAUGUGUAGUGAAGUACAUUGUUAAAUGUAUCUGCAUGUUGUGUUGUAAAUCUUGCUCAGGAAACAAACUAAUAAAAUUCAUGCACAAGUUUUGACUUUAA